rnacentral:rRNA from 1 species
GACGGGGGAUGCAAGUGUUAUCCGGAAUCACUGGGCGUAAAGCGACUGUAGGUGGUUUAAUAAGUCAACUGUUAAAUCUUGAGGCUCAACCUCGAAAUCGCAGUCGAAACUAUUAGACUAGAGUAUAGUAGGGGUAAAGGGAAUUUCCAGUGGAGCGGUGAAAUGCGUAGAUAUUGGAAAGAACACCGAUGGCGAAGGCUCUUUACUGGGCUAUUACUAACACUGAGAGACGAAAGCUAGGGUAGCAAAUGGG